GAUGAACGCUGGCGGCGUGCCUAAUACAUGCAAGUCGAGCGCUCAGACGAGGUGCUUGCUCCUCUUGCGUUAGCGGCGGACGGGUGAGUAACACGUGGAUAACCUACCUAUGAGCCUGGGAUAACUUCUGGAAACCGAUGCUAAUACCGCAUAAUAUCUUUAACCACAUGUUUCAAUUGUGAAAGAUGCUUUUGCUUUCCCUUAUGGUUAUCUCCCCGCGGCAUUGGCUAGUUGGUAAGGUAACGGCUUACCAAGGCGACGUUGCGGAGCCGACGUGAAGGGGGGACGGCCAAAAAGGGAACGGGGAAACGGCCCAGCCUCCUACGGGAGGAAGCAGAAGGGAAUCUUGCGAAAUGGGGGAAGGCUGGCCGGAGAAAGGCGGCGGGAGGGAGGAAGGUCUUCGGAUCGUAAAACUCUGUUAUUAGGGAAGAACAAAUGUGGAAGGAAAUAUGCACGUAGUGACGGUAACUAAUCAGAAAGCCACGGCUAACUACGUG
rnacentral:rRNA from 1 species